CAGAUCUUGGCCCUGGUGGCGGUGUACUACCUCCACGAAGGACUUCCCAAUCACUGCAGGAAGGCAUGGAAAUCCCCAUCACCUCCCAAUGUCUGUGAGUAGGACCACUGCAGAUGGGCCUACACUGUACAAAAAUAAAACUACGAAGAAAGUUGGUCGACACACGGGGGUUUCAACGGGGCUCCUCGAAGAUCUCUGCACAUGGAUCUCCCGCCUGGAAGUUUACAAAUUUGACGACGUUAAAGCCUGGAAAAUUUGCAUGUUCUCCCCGUGUUCACAAGGGGUUUCCUCCAAAAAUAACCCCAACAGAAAAAACAUGCAAAAACAGAACAUUCUCCUGUCCGUCCGUGACCGAGACGGACGGUUCACUUGGUCCCCGGGCGCUGAGAAGCUGCCCACUGCUCCUGGGGGCCAACAUAUGAUGAUUGCAUAUGAAAUUGGAUAAGUUAUCUGCAUGGAUGAUCAAACUCUGGCACCAGAUGAAGAGGAUCAGGAUAUGUUUGAGGAUUCCAGUGCUGAGUCAACAAGAGCCAGUAGUGCAGGGACAGGCGCAACUGGAGACAUUUUGCAUCUCAGGGUCAACAGCGAGUCAACUCCAAGUCAACUGCAGUCAGGGUCAGCUGCAGCUGGGGCAGCGAUAGGUCAGAAUUUGACACCGGAGAGUGUGCAGUGGAGGGAAAUAAGAAGUCUCACAUGUCCAAUAGUGGAACUUCUUCCAGAGCAUCACACAAUCCCACUAUGCCCUCUUGUAAGCAUUUUGUUUUCUAACCAGAUAUUUUCUUUUCACAUGUCAUUUAUGGAAAGAUGAACAUCUCAUGUAUAAAGGGAAGGGACCACUGUUCCUCAAAACAAAAUGUUCAACCCAUAGGCCCGUUUGAGGUCACUAAAAGCUGCAUGUAGAACAAAGAGCAGGACAAUUUGGU
ensembl:lncRNA